rnacentral:tRNA from 1 species
GCGGGGGUGCCCGAGCUAGGACAAAGGGGGCGGACUCAGGAUCAGUUAAAAGAUGGGAUCUCCGCUGGCGUAGGCCUGCCCGGGUUCGAAUCCCGGCCCCCGCA